rnacentral:lncRNA from 1 species
AUGGUGCUGUCCACACACUUUUCAUUCGCAAACCUCCGUUUCUGGGACGUGUCCCCAGACCUCUGGCGAUUCAGCAGGCUGCUGUCCCCUGGCCCCCCUCCCCCCCCACUUCUGCAAGAGCAGCUUGGGGGGGGGCAGCGGCUGCAGCAAGUGCAGGGAGCUGGGGGGCAGCCUUGCCAGCGGCACGAGGGGAGGGCAGGAGACCCAGAGGGCACCUGUCCCGGCUCGCCAGGGGGACUCGCCUCACGGCCGGAGCCCACGGUUUCAGAGGACGAUCUGAGGAUGUUAAAGAUGCUGCUGACGGGUGUUUGGGUGUUUUCUUCGGCAAGUGGCGCGAACCACCGGAGCCUGGCUCCCUGUCCCCAAGCAGAGGCCCGGCAGGGCCGCCCCGCAGCUCUCCAGGAGCCACUGAAUUCAGCUGACUUAGGUGUCGGGGCACCAGCCAGAGGAACCCCCGGCAGGCCCGGUGUCACUCGAGACCAGGAGCCGUCCGUGCAGUUCCCCGUUGAGCCUCUGCAGGCCCCGCCUGUCCCUCCUGUGCCUGUCGGGGCUCCCCCGGCCCAGGCCGGGUCCCCCAGGUGCUGUGCCAGCACCUUCACCAGUAAGGGGCUCUCCCGACCCCACAGGCCCGCGACGAGGGUGCCCCACCCGCUCCUUGUGCAGGAGCACGCUGAGCUCGGGGACAGUACUCUCGCUGGGUCACAGAAACAUUUUAUUCAUGAAACGCUGCUUCAGAGCACAGUUCCGAAACGCCUAGCUGGACACGACGUGGGCUGCGUUUCGGGAAUUUGGGGUUUGGUCGCAGCUUCUUUGCUUUUAUUUUCUUUUUCUUUCUUUUUUUUUUUUUUUAAAUUUUUAUUUAUUUAUGAUAGUCACAGAGAGAGAGAGAGAGAGAGAGAGAGGCAGAGAGAGAAGCAGGCUCCAUGCACCGGGAGCCCGACGUGGGAUUCGAUCCCGGGUCUCCAGGAUCGCGCCCUGGGCCAAAGGCAGGCGCCAAACCGCUGCGCCACCCAGGGAUCCCUUUGCUUUUAUUUUCAUUUCUGA